rnacentral:lncRNA from 1 species
CUGACCUCAAAGUUCCUGCUUAUUCAGCCUCACUCCUACCAAAUCAUUUUUAAAUUUAGUCAGAGCACACUGACGGAGGCAAGUGUCAUCCUGGGUUUAGAAGCCAAAAACACGGUGGAGUCAAAUUCAAUUAAUUAGGGCGACUUCCUCCCACCAUGGUUCUGUCAACAGUCUCCUCUCUAGGCAACCAUUGACCACCUCCCCACACACUGGGCCCCUCCCACUUUCAUUUGUAUCGCUCCGGAGGCCAGAGGAAGACAUUACAAGAGACUGGACAGAAAAGCAAACUGGUGUUACUAACCUGGGAAGGAGAGAACAGACAGCAGAGUCUCUUCUUUUCCAGAUUAAGAUGGCAAUGAAACAGAUGAGCCCCAAAAGCAAAACAGGAAGGAGAAAGAAUAGUGAAAAGUCAUGAGAGGGUGAUGUUAAUCUUUCACUGAUAUUGGGAAAUUAGAAAACAACCAGAAGUAGCUUCUGCCCUACUCCAAACAAGAUAAAAACACAGGCUACUAAGCAAGAAAGCCAGGAAUCUCUGCAAAGAGUGAGGGAAACUAUUGGGAAUAAAGUAUGAACCACAAUAUUCAUUUAAUUUUUGCUCUAUUCAGGACUUGUGCUAGACACUAAGAGGUGUUUUGGAGAAAGACUAUUCUCGAAUCAUUUAAUGUCUAAAGUUAAAGGGAGGGGGUGAAAUUAGUUCACAACUAUAAAAUGCACAUAAAGUACACAUUACAUGACCCUUGCUGCUGCCAAGAAACAUUCAGAAAUUAC